GUGUGUACCCGCCGCGAAAGCAAGUACGGUAACACUCGUUGCUGCGUGUGCACUGCUUGGCCUAAAAUUUUAUCUCCACAGUUCUUUUCUCUUCGUUCUGUGGUUUUUCUGUAGAUUUUUGGAUAUAUUUUCUCCUUUUGAGUGAUUUUUACUUUCUUUCAAGGUUUUAAAAGCCUAUUUUUUCGUUAUUGAACGUUAUCCACUUGCUGCCCUCUAUA
ensembl:ncRNA Y71F9AL.19 ncRNA